rnacentral:ncRNA from 12 species
CUUGACAUGAUGAUAUCGAAAACCUUUCUUGAACUCCUGAGAGUGAUUUCUUAUAGACUACAACGGUAUCUGAUU